UACGUAGGUGGCGAGCGUUAUCCGGAUUUACUGGGUGUAAAGGGCGUGUAGGCGGUUUCUCAAGUCGGAUGUGAAAUUCCCAGGCUUAACCUGGGAGCUGCAACCGAAACUGAGGGACUUGAGUACUGGAGAGGAUAGCGGAAUUCCUAGUGUAGCGGUAAAAUGCGUAGAUAUUAGGAGGAACACCGGUGGCGAAGGCGGCUAUCUGGACAGUAACUGACGCUGAGGCGCGAAAGCGUGGGGAGCAAACAGGAUUAGAUACCCUGGUAGUCCACGCCGUAAACGAUGGAUACUAGGUGUAGGGGGUAUCGACCCCCCCUGUGCCGGAGUUAACACAAUAAGUAUCCCACCUGGGGAGUACGACCGCAAGGUUGAA
rnacentral:rRNA from 1 species